AUGUGGAGGUUUUUUGCAGAUAAGCUUCAUGGCAUUUCUGCUCCUCUUAAAUAAAUUAGCGAGUUUAAACUAGGCUCUGUCUAUUGGUGUGAUAACUAUCUACACCGUUGGAUUGGGCUUAGACUUGCUUCUAACCGUCUGAAAAGACAAUCUUUUGACAAUUUGACCUCAAAUCAGGUAGGACUACCCGCUGAACUUAA
rnacentral:misc_RNA from 1 species